rnacentral:piRNA from 1 species
UCCUAGGAUGGUGCGGGUUGCCCAAGGU